GGUUUAAUUCGAUGCAACGCGAAAAACCUUACCACUUCUUGACAUGGAGGCUAGAUCCUUUUUAACAGAAGGGCGCAGUUCGGCUGGGCCUCGCACAGGUGCUGCAGGGCUGUCGUCAGCUCGUGUCGUGAGAUGUUGGGUUAAGUCCCGCAACGAGCGCAACCCUCAUCCUUAGUUACCAGCGGGUAAUGCCGGGCACUUUAAGGAAACUGCCAGUGAUAAACUGGAGGAAGGUGGGGAUGAUGUCAAGUCACCACGGCCCUUAUGGGGUGGGCUACACACGUGCUACAAUGGCAACUACAAUAGGUUGCAACGUCGCAAGGCUGAGC
rnacentral:rRNA from 1 species